AUUGAACGCUGGCGGCAGGCUUAACACAUGCAAGUCGAACGAGUGGCGGACGGGUGAGUAAUGUCUGGGAAACUGCCCGAUGGAGGGGGAUAACUACUGGAAACGGUAUCUAAUACCGCAUACCAUCGGAUGUGCCCAGAUGGGAUUAGCUAGUAGGUGGGGGAAUGGCUCACCUAGGCGACGAUCCCUAGCUGGUCUGAGAGGAUGACCAGCCACACGGGAACUGAGAAACGGUCCAGACUCCUACGGGAGGCAGCAGGGGGGAAUAUUGCACAAUGGGCGCAAGCCGGAUGCAGCCAUGCCGCGUGUGUGAAGAAGGCCUUCGGGUUGUAAAGUACUUUCAGCGAGGAGGCGUUACUCGCAGAAGAAGCACCGGCUAACUCCGUGCCAGCAGCCGCGGUAAUUC
rnacentral:rRNA from 1 species